UCGAGGAUCAUUCGCAAUGGGGGAAACCCUGACGAUGCGACGCUGCGUGGAGGAUGACGGCCUUCGGGUUGUAAACUCCUGUCAUGAGGGAAGAGGAAAGCUCCGGUAACACCGGGGCGAUUUGACGGUACCUCAAGAGGAAGCCACGGCUAACUCUGUGCCAGCAGCCGCGGUAAUACAGAGGUGGCGAGCGUUGUUCGGAUUUACUGGGCGUAAAGGGCGCGUAGGCGGCGAUGUGUGUCGGGUGUGAAAUCCCAGGGCCCAACCCUGGAAGUGCGCCCGAAACUGCAUCGCUUGAGUGCGGGAGGGGAGAUCGGAAUGCAGGGUGUAGCGGUGAAAUGCGUUGAUAUCCUGCAGAACACCGGUGGCGAAGGCGGAUCUCUGGAACGCAACUGACGCUGAGGCGCGAAAGUCGGGGGAGCAAACA
rnacentral:rRNA from 1 species